CUGAUGCAGCACGCCGCGUGCGGGAUGACGGCCUUCGGGUUGUAAACCGCUUUCGCCUGUGACGAAGCGUGAGUGACGGUAAUGGGUAAAGAAGCACCGGCUAACUACGUGCCAGCAGCCGCGGUGAUACGUAGGGUGCGAGCGUUGUCCGGAUUUAUUGGGCGUAAAGGGCUCGUAGGUGGUUGAUCGCGUCGGAAGUGUAAUCUUGGGGCUUAACCCUGAGCGUGCUUUCGAUACGGGUUGACUUGAGGAAGGUAGGGGAGAAUGGAAUUCCUGGUGGAGCGGUGGAAUGCGCAGAUAUCAGGAGGAACACCAGUGGCGAAGGCGGUUCUCUGGGCCUUUCCUGACGCUGAGGAGCGAAAGCGUGGGGAGCGAACAGGCUUAGAUACCCUGGUAGUCCACGCUGUAAACGGUGGGUACUAGGUGUGGGGUCCAUUCCACGGGUUCCGCGCCGUAGCUAACGCUUUAAGUACCCCGCCUGGGGAGUACGGCCGCAAGGCUAAAACUCAAAGGAAUUGACGG
rnacentral:rRNA from 1 species